rnacentral:rRNA from 1 species
UACGGAGGGGGCUAGCGUUGUCCGGGAUUACUGGGCGUAAAGCGCGCGUAGGUGGUCCACCAAGUCGGGGGUGAAAGCCCAGGGCUCAACCCUGGAAUUGCCUCCGAGACUGAUGGACUCGAGUUCGGGAGAGGAGAGCGGAAUUCCCAGUGUAGAGGUGAAAUUCGUAGAUAUUGGGAAGAACACCGGUGGCGAAGGCGGCUCUCUGG